CGAGUCGUAUAAAAAGUAUUAAAUGUCUAUAUAUAGGACAUGUAACCAUGAAGAUGAUGGUCCAUUUUGGUAGGAUGUAAUUGAAUGGUUCAACAUACAUCACAAUCUUGAAUUGGACAAGGUGGUUGGGGUGGUGAUAGUUUGCUUUGGACCAUUGGUCGGCCCCCCACAAAGCGCGGGUGGAAACCGCUAGGGAUUUUUUUUGAGUUGACAAUUUAGGUAAGUUCAUACCACAUGCUGAAUUUUUUUGAAGUGUUUAUAAUUUCGGGCAAGAUGAUGGUCGAAGAUUUAGGAAUUGAAGCUUAGGGAAUUUUUUUGAGUUAGACAAUUUAGUGUUUAUAAUUUCAGGCAAGAUGAUGGUCGAAGAUUUAGGAAUUGAAGCUAAGGAGUUUGCAGUUCUCGAGGUUGCGAAGCUCUUGGCCCUUCCUGAGCUUUCGCUAUCCAUUUCUUCAAUCAAGGUCGAACAAGCACAUGCUAGCCUAAAACACUUGCUUCAUCCGAGAUGACAGUAACUCAUCUCCAUGAGAACUUUGUUGGUAUUGAGAGGAUAUAGAGGGCAUGAUGUCAAUUUCAGUGGAAGAUGCUUCAACGCAUGAUUCUUUAAGUGUUGAUAAGGAGCUCAUCAACACGUAUGAGAUAGGGAUGCAAUGUUACACAGUGAUAGAAGUUAAUCUUAUAUUCAAAACAUAAUAUCUUGAUUGUUCAUCGGAUUUUUUUUUCAUAGAGGUUAACAGCUCUUGAUGGAAAAAGGAGGUUUACAUUAGGGACUGCAUGAUCUCAUAAAGAGGAGGUUGGCAAACUAAGGUCGGGAUCAAAUUCAUUGAUUUUAAAUUAUUUUAGUUUUGAUGUUUUGCAACAGAGAAUACUGCAUUCAGGGUUCAUUUAUAUAUGCUAUGAUGAUGAAUGGGUGGAGAUACUGUAUAUACUAUGCUUUUUGAUGAUUA